GAUGGACGCUGGCGGCGUGCUUAACACAUGCAAGUCGAACGGUGAAGGCGGAGCUUGCUCUGCUGGAUCAGUGGCGAACGGGUGAGUAACACGUGAGCAAUCUGCCCCUGACUCUGGGAUAAGCGCUGGAAACGGCGUCUAAUACUGGAUACGAGCUGCGAAGGCAUCUUCAGCAGCUGGAAAGAACUUCGGUCAGGGAUGAGCUCGCGGCCUAUCAGCUUGUUGGUGAGGUAACGGCUCACCAAGGCGUCGACGGGUAGCCGGUCUGAGAGGGUGACCGGCCACACUGGGACUGGGACACGGCCCAGACUCCUACGGGAGGCAGCAGUGGGGAAUAUUGCACAAUGGGCGAAAGCCUGAUGCAGCAACGCCGCGUGAGGGACGACGGCCUUCGGGUUGUAAACCUCUUUUAGCAGGGAAGAAGCGAAAGUGACGGUACCUGCAGAAAAAGCGCCGGCUAACUACGUG
rnacentral:rRNA from 1 species